CCGCGGUAACACGGGGGGAGCAAGCCUUGUUCGGAUUUACUGGGCGUAAAGGGCGCGUAGGCGGUCAGCACAAGUCAGUUGUGAAAUCUCCGGGCUUAACUCGGAAAGGUCAACUGAUACUGUGCGACUAGAGUGCANAAGGGGCAACUGGAAUUCUCGGUGUAGCGGUGAAAUGCGUAGAUAUCGAGAGGAACACCUGCGGCGAAGGCGGGUGGCUGGGCUGACACUGACGCUGAGGCGCGAAAGCNAGGGGAGCGAACGGGAUUAGAUACCCCGGUAGUCCUGGCCUUAAACGAUGNAUGCUUGGUGUCUGGAGUUAUANAGUCUCCGGGUGCCGUNGCUAACGC
rnacentral:rRNA from 1 species